CCCUUAGAUGUUCUGGGCUGCACGCGUGCUACACUGAUAUUGCCAAUAUGUCAUUCUUAUCCGAAAUGGAUUGGGUAAUCAAGUAAUGAAAUUUCAUGCUUGGAAUCGGUAAUUGCAAUUUUAUCGUGAACGAGGAAUUCCUAGUAAGCACUAGUCAUCAGCUAAUGUUGAUUAUGUCCCUGCCCUUUGUACACACCGCCCGUCGCUACUACUGAUUGGGUGUUCAAGUGAGAUGCUUAGACCCUUGUUGCAUGGUUCAUUAUUGUGCUCCGAAAGAAAAAAGUUUCAAGCUUGAGUGUCUAGAGGAAGUAAAAGUCGUAACA
rnacentral:rRNA from 1 species